rnacentral:rRNA from 1 species
UACGUAGGGGGCAAGCGUUGUCCGGAAUUAUUGGGCGUAAAGAGCGUGUAGGCGGUCCGGUAAGUCGGCUGUGAAAGCCCAGGGCUCAACCCUGGAAGUGCAUUGGAUACGACGGAGCUAGAGUGUUGAAGAGGAGAGCGGAAUUCCCGGUGUAGAGGUGAAAUUCGUAGAUAUCGGGAGGAACACCAGUGGCGAAGGCGGCUCUCUGGACAGAUACCGACGCUGAGGCACGAAAGCUAGGGGAGCAAACAGG